AGCAAUCUGCCUUGGAGUGGGGAAUAACGGCUGGAAACAGCCGCUAAUACCGCAUGAUACAGCUGGGAGGCAUCUCCCUGGCUGUCAAAGAUUUAUCGCUCUGAGAUGAGCUCGCGUCUGAUUAGCUAGUUGGCGGGGUAACGGCCCACCAAGGCGACGAUCAGUAGCCGGACUGAGAGGUUGGCCGGCCACAUUGGGACUGAGACACGGCCCAGACUCCUACGGGAGGCAGCAG
rnacentral:rRNA from 1 species